CUUGAAACAGAGCCGCCGUCAUAGUCGCUUUCCCCGCGACACCCUUCAGCUCUAUUAGCAGUUAGCUAUGAAGGCCCUCGGUACUUGACUGAUGCUUCAUGGCUAACUCACGGCGGUCACUGUGGGCGGUUCUCCUUCCUUUUCUUAAUUGAAAGAAGUCUUCUGCAGAGCACCUGCGGCGGACGCAGCACCAGAUAUCCAAAGAUGACAGACGACUUGGACAUUGAAGCGAUGUUGGAGGCUCCGUACAGGAAGACUUGCCUAACGAUUUCUCACCUCUACUCCCCUGAAUCCAGUGUGAUCUGUCACAAACAUGAAGGUAGUAAAAAAAA